rnacentral:tRNA from 1 species
UGCAAAGUAGAGCAGUCUGGGAGCUCGCCGAGCUCAUAACCCGGAGGUCGCUGGUUCGAAUCCAGCCUUUGAUA